CCUACGGGGUGCACCAGUGGGGAAUAUUGCACAAUGGGCGCAAGCCUGAUGCAGCCAUGCCGCGUAUAUGAAGAAGGCCUUAGGGUUGUAAAGUACUUUCAGUUGGGAGGAAGGCGUUGAUGCUAAUAUCAUCAACGAUUGACGUUACCAACAGAAGAAGCACCGGCUAACUCCGUGCCAGCAGCCGCGGUAAUACGGAGGGUGCAAGCGUUAAUCGGAAUUACUGGGCGUAAAGCGCACGCAGGCGGUUGAUUCAGUUAGAUGUGAAAUCCCCGGGCUUAACCUGGGAAUGGCAUCUAAGACUGGUCAGCUAGAGUCUUGUAGAGGGGGGUAGAAUUCCAUGUGUAGCGGUGAAAUGCGUAGAGAUGCGGAGGAAUACCGGUGGCGAAGGCGGCCCCCUGGACGAAGACUGACGCUCAGGUGCGAGAGCGUGGGGAGCAAACAGGAUUAGAUACCCCAGUAGUC
rnacentral:rRNA from 1 species